rnacentral:ncRNA from 1 species
ACCAAGGAGUCUGACAUCUGUGCGAGUCAACGGGCGACUAAACACGUAAGGCGUAAGGAAGCUGAUUGGUGGGAUCCUCUUGAGGGGUGCACCGCCAACCGACUGUGAUCUUCUAAAAAGGGUUCGAGUGUGAGCAUACCUGUCGGGACUCGAAAGAUAGUGAACUAUGCCUGAACGGGGCGAAGCCAGAGGAAACUCUGGGGGAGGCCCGCAACGAUAAUGACGUGCAAAUCAUUCGUCUGACUUGGCUAUAGGAGCGAAAGACUAAUCGAACCCGCUAGUAGCUAGUUCCCUCCAAGGUUUCCCUCAGGAUAGCUGGAGCUCGCGUGCGAGUUCUAUGGGGUAAAGCCAUUGAUUAGAGGCCUCGGAGGUGCAACGCCCUUAACCUAUUCUCAAACUUGAAAUAGGUUGGACGGCGCGACUGCUUUAUUGAGCCGCGCCACGGAAUAAAGAGCUCGAAGUGGGCCAUUUUUGGUAAGCAGAACUAGCGAUGCGGGAUGAACCGGAAGCCGGGUUACGGUGCCAAACUGCGCGCCAACAUAGAUCCCACAAAGGGUGUUGGUCGAUUAAGACAGUUGGACGGUGGUCAUGGAAGUGGAAAUCCCCUAAGGAGUCUGUAACAACUCACCUGCCGAAUCAACUAGCCCCGAAAAUGGGUGGCGCUUAAACACGUGACCUACACCCGACCGUCGGGGCAAGUGCCAGGCCCCGAUGGUUAGGAGGGUGCGGUGGUCACUGCAAAACCUUGGGCGGAGAGGCCGUCGGUGCAGAUCUUGGUGGUAGUAGCAAAUAUUCAAAUGAGAACUUUGAAGGCCGAAAGGGGGAAAGGCC